GAUGAACGCUGGCGGCGUGCCUAAUACAUGCAAGUCGAGCGAACAGACGAGGAGCUUGCUCCUUUGACGUUAGCGGCGGACGGGUGAGUAACACGUGGAUAACCUACCUAUAAGACUGGGAUAACUUCGGGAAACCGGAGCUAAUACCGGAUAACAUGUUGAACCGCAUGGUUCAACAGUGAAAGACGGUCUUGCUGUCACUUAUAGAUGGAUCCGCGCCGCAUUAGCUAGUUGGUAAGGUAACGGCUUACCAAGGCAACGAUGCGUAGCCGACCUGAGAGGGUGAUCGGCCACACUGGAACUGAGACACGGUCCAGACUCCUACGGGAGGCAGCAGUAGGGAAUCUGCCGCAAUGGGCGAAAGCCUGACGGAGCAACGCCGCGUGAGUGAAGAAGGUCUUCGGAUCGUAAAACUCUGUUAUUAGGGAAGAACAAAUGUGUAAGUAACUAUGCACGUCUUGACGGUACCUAAUCAGAAAGCCACGGCUAACUACGU
rnacentral:rRNA from 1 species